AAACUAAACAGUGGACAUUUGUAAUAUAAAAUUUUGAAAUGUGUUGAAAUGCUUCAUGUUUUAGAAUUUGUGUCUACAAACCUACACCUCUCCGGAGGUCACGUACGAGUGUCCGACACAUUGGGAUACGCUGAGGACACAUUGGAGGAAACGUUGAAGAUUAUUUUUUUUUAAAAAAAUUGAAGUUUUUAAUUUAUUUUACUAAAGUAACAUACUUGAAGUUGAUAAUUUUGAUAAAAUUAAAUAUUUGAGAUAAGGUACAUAAUAAAUAUAUAAAAUUAUAUUUUUUACAUGUGUUCCUAACGUGUCGUGUCUUGCAUUUUGUUAAAAUUUACUUGUCCAUGUAUCCAUGCUGUGUCAUGUGUCAUGUCCAUCCUUCUUAGCCCAUAACAGAGCCAACUUGAGCUUGGGAGGGGGUGAUGAAUAAUGACCAUCCUAAAGCCAUUUGUCAUACCAUUCAAUGCUAACCAAAACAAGUUGCUUGGGUAAGCUAUGCACAUUUGGAAAUUUGGAGACAGGUACCCUACAUUGCUAUAUCUGAGAGAGCGAGAGAGAUUUGAGGCUGCCAUUGCCUUACUUGCAACUUGUGGUCAGUUUGUUCAUUAUUUAAGAAGCAAUGAAGAAGAUGCAAGCGAUGAUUACUGAUUUGCACUAUGAUCUGUUAAAAAUAAUUAUGCUUUUUGUGGUGAAAUCAUCAAAAGGCGGAGUACAUCUGGCAAGGGCAAUAUCUGUUAACAGAGAUUUCGCUAAAUUUGCUAAUGAUGAGGAUGUCUUAAGAGCUGCCAAUUUUGACAAUUUGGGGCUAUCAGAUCACUAUGAAUCAUACCAGUGCAUUCAUGGUUUAAUAAACAAAUGUUCUCAAGCUGGAAAUGUUACUGCCCAGUACAUGUUAUCAAAGCAGAUAAUACUGGUAACUUCUUCUCAGUUGUGGAAGAGGGCAUCAAAAGAUCUCAUUGGUCUAGCAAGCAUCAGCUUGGUUGCUGAGAAAGAUACUACAGCUUCUUUCAUGGCCCAUUUUAUGGCAGACCAAGCAAGUACUAGCAAAAGAUCAGGUGGAAGUUUAACUCACGCUGAACUUGUGAGACUGUUCGUGUUACUAUGCGGCCUUGUAGACUUUGUUACUAUGCGUCCGCAUUUAGAUAAUUACUUUAAGUACUUCUUUGGAUCUGUGAGUGGCUCUCUCAACUUCUUCUAUAGCAUCAAUGGGAUGUCUAGCAUUCUCCAAGCUGUUGUACAUCUGGGUAAGAAAGGAAAAAUGUGGUAUCCAUGUCAAAAAUUGAAGGGAUUUUCAGUAGAGUCAGGAGAGGGAAAUAGAGGACUCAAUGCUCUGUGUAUUGACCUGGGGGAAAGGCUUUUUCACUGUCCUGCAAAGCUCAUGGAAAUUGACUUCAAAAGGGAAGAAUUUCAUGAGACCUAUGCACCAUCUAGCUCAAAUCUAAAAGAGCUGAAGAGGGAAUGCAAUGAUAUAGCUGAACAAUUGAUUCCAGUGAAGCUUGGAAAGCGAAAGAAGGAAGCCAAUAUUCGGUAUAUUGACCUGGGAGAAAGGUUUUUUUACUAUCUUGUAAAGCACUGGCUUACCUUCAAGGAAGCAGUAAUUCAGGAGACCAAUGAACUUUCCAGCUCUACAUUUAGAGAGCUGAAGAAGGAAUGCAAAGAUCUCGGCAGAGUAUAUGAAUCACAUCGACGAAAUGCAACUUUUGCCUUGGAUGACAUUUUCUUCCACAAAAAUGGAUUUUGAAGGCAUCUGCCCUCUCUAUGCAGUAUUGAUAAUUUUGUUUAAGGUACAUUAUAGAAUUUUCAGACUAAAUCAUCAAAGAACAAUACCUUUAGUGGUUCAUGGCCUGAAACCAGGACAAAGGAGCCUUUUUUGUUCUUUCAACAAGCAGAACUUUGCAAAGGAAGCAAGAGUCAGCCAAUUUUCUGGCAAUCAUUGUGCAUUUCGAGUUGCCUAAAAGUUUAAAUCCAAACUCUGCAUUUGGAGAUGCAAACCUGAACUGGGCCAAUUGGCUAGGCAAGCAUUCAUUAGCGGAGUCAAUUUGUGCUGCAAAUUACAAACUAUGUCAGACAAUUGGAAUUAAAAGAACAAGAACAAGAAACCUUUUAUCACACCAUUCACAGUAGACAUUUCAUGUCAUGAAGGAUGUCACUUUCAAAAUGCUUUUGCUCUGAAACUGCUAAUCCAUUUGGUUAACAUGGAUUAGUUGUCUUGGUAUUGAUGGGUUUCUUGGAGAUGUGUCUUUCUUGGUAUACAAAAAAGAACAAAUUGUCUACAUCCCAUAUCCAUUUAUGUGGAAUUUACAAGUAGUUCAAACUUCGAAAGCAAUGGUCGUGACAAUUACGGAUCUGCUCUUCGAUCUUUUGAAGUUUAUCAUGAUUUUAAUAGUGGAAUCUACACAGGCCAGGAAAUCUUUUGAGAGCAAUGAUUGUUUCAAAUUCAACGUUGUUCGCGAAGAUUGCUGAAGACCCAAAUAACCUGAAAGCUGUGCGUUUUGACGAUUUGAGUGUCACAAAUUGAUAUGAGCUAUUCCAGCAAGCUAAUGGGUUGUUAUACAAAUGUGCACAAGCUGGAAAUGAGGUUGCUCAGUACUUGCUUGUGAACGUAACCGUUUUUGGGCAUUUCAUGUUUAGUCUUAGUGAUAGCAAUAGUUGUCGUUGGUAGUGGGUCUGUUCUUGUUUCCUAAUGUGAUUGCCCUCACACUAGUGACAUGUAAUUGCUAUGUUUGCUUUUCAUUCACCAUUCACUCUUUGCAUUUUCUAGCGUUUGGUAUAACAGAAAAUGAAAGUCAACUGAAAAGAAAUGCUUUUCGUUGUCAAUGGAAAACAAACUUAUUUGAA